rnacentral:rRNA from 1 species
UACGAAGGGGGCUAGCGUUGUUCGGAAUUACUGGGCGUAAAGCGCGCGUAGGCGGACUGGCAAGUCGGGGGUGAAAUGCCGAGGCUCAACCUCGGAACUGCCUUCGAUACUGCCAGUCUUGAGGUCGGGAGAGGUGAGUGGAACUCCGAGUGUAGAGGUGAAAUUCGUAGAUAUUCGGAAGAACACCAGUGGCGAAGGCGGCUCACUGGCCCGAUUCUGACGCUGAGGCGCGAAAGCUAGGGGAGCAAACAGG